GCUUGUCUCAAAGAUUAAGCCAUGCAUGUCUAAGUAUAAAUGGUAUACAGUGAAACUGCGAAUGGCUCAUUAAAACAGUUAUAGUUUAUUUGGUAUUCGAAUUUACAUGGAUAACCGUGGUAAUUCUAGAGCUAAUACAUGCAUUACGCCUGACUUUUCGGAAGGGCAGUAUUUAUUAGAUAACAGACCAUCUCCCCCAAAGGAAAUGUGGUGAAUCAUAGUAACUUUGCGAAUCGCAUAGCUUUUUAAUGCUGGCGAUGGGUCAUUCAAAUUUCUGCCCUAUCAACUUUCGACGGUAGGAUAGAGGCCUACUGUGGUGAUAACGGGUAACGAAGAAUAAGGGUUCGAUUUCGGAGAGGGAGCCUGAGAAACGGCUACCACAUCCAAGGAAGGCAGCAGG
rnacentral:rRNA from 1 species